CACGUAGGGGGCGAGCGUUGUUCGGAAUUACUGGGCGUAAAGGGCAUGUAGGCGGCUUGGUAAGCCUGGCGUGAAAGUCCACAGCUUAACUGUGGGACAGCGCUGGGAACUGCUGAGCUUGAGUUAUGGAGAGGGAGCUGGAAUUCCUGGUGUAGGGGUGAAAUCUGUAGAGAUCAGGAAGAACACCGAUGGCGAAGGCAAGCUCCUGGCCAAUGACUGACGCUGAGGUGCGAAAGUGUGGGGAUCAAACAGG
rnacentral:rRNA from 1 species